UUAGCGAGAAGGAGAAAAGGCAAAGGUUGAGAGAAGAAAGGCAAAAUUUUCUGGUUAUGGCGGUUGUUGCAGGACUUGCAACGACGUCGUCGUUUGUUACGGUGAAGUUUGAGUGCAACCCUUGGGCACCAACUACGGGGAAACUCUGGGGUGCUAACGGAACCCACCACCCAUUGGCAGCGAAAAUGGGUUCGAAACUUACGGGCGUGAAAGCCAGGUUCGGUUCUUUCAAGACCGGUGGUGCUGGUGUUUUGGAACGACCCAGUUUCGAUCAAUCCCAGUUUGACCCUUCUACACAAGUUCUUGAAGGUGGUGAUAUCGGGCGCUCGACAGAUAGAAAAUGUACUGGCAGUUGAGACAGUUAUAGAGUUUUGCUGGUUGACGAUGCUCGCCAUUCAGAAAUAUUAGUUGCAAAGGUUUUGCCCCAAGUUGUUCCAUCCGUUACACCUGAUGAUGCAAGAAAACUAUUCCACGAAUCGCGUGAAAAUGGGGUGGCAACCGUGAUAGUCACGGUAAAGGAGCAUGCUGAAUUCUAUUCGCAAAUGAUGGUUCACAGGGGAUUACGAUCUAUUAUCGAGCCGGAUUCGAGUGUAGUGUAAAGUGGUUUUAGACCUUAUAUCGCAUGAACUGCAACAAGCGAAGACUUUGCCGCGACAAUUUGGAGAACAUAGACUUCCAUUGAAUUGUAGACCCUGAUAUUGAACUGGAAAAAA